GUCUGCACCCAUUCGAUGCAUAUACUGCAGCGUAGCUGGUUGAAUAUUGUAAGCCUUUCUAACAAACCCUUUCUGCAUGCAUUCAACAACCAUGGCGCUGCUACUAAUUGCAUUUGCUGGAAAGUAUCUAUUGCAUGUACUCAAAUCCCUGUUGUGUGUGGCAAUAUGGGCACUAGUCUCAUUCUUUUGAAAGCCUCGGAAGCCUUUUCAACUAGUCUAUUUGGUCGGGAGGAUACCGGUAAAGGAGUCGGCUUAUAUCUGCCAUUUGUAUUUUCAUGAGAUUUUCUAAAGCUCUUUCAUCCAUUCAUUGUGGCGAAACCAUGCAUUCAUCACACUCCAUGGGAUGACAUAUCCUUGAGACAUUUCGUAAACAAUUAAGCUCCCACAUUGGCAUAUGUUUGGAGGGAUCUUUUAUGUGGUAUCGAUUCAUAGGUUGGAAGCUGGAAGUUGGCGAUGGAAGCAGGACUUCCUUCUCAGCGUUAGAAUGAUCUUGACUCUGAUAGUACAUUUAUGCUGGAGAAACUUUGCAAGGGAUGUAUCUGUGGAAGAGCAUUGAGGGCAUUAUAUUCUAAGUUAUUAUCCUGGAUCUAUAAGGACACAGAGCAAUUGCAUCAUGAAAGUAUGCCAGACAAACUCGGGUAACCACAGACCUUCCAGUUCCAACAAAUGAUCCACCACCAUUAAAAAAAAUUACAGUCUCAUGAUAUGUUGCUUUGACAGGUAACCACAGACCUUCCAGUUCCAACAAAUGAUCCACCACCAUAAAAAAAAUUACAGUCUUUUGAUUCUCAAUUGCUGCACAGUUCGAAGUCGAUUUCGAAAAUCUACAACAGAUUUUAUUAGUUCAAUUCGAAAUUUAAAAGUAAAAGAAUCACCCUCACAAUCACGAGGUGAAUGGAAAGGGAAGUCAAAGUUCAAUGGAAAAAUUUGAGAAAUGCUUAAGGAAAAAAGGUUUGGCACUUUCAUACGUAUCCAAUCAAAAGAACGAAAUUCCCAGCCCCUUCCGAAAGAACCAAACACCAAAUUUGCAUUGUUCUCCAAUAUGGUGAUCUUUUAUCUUAAUUUAAGAUGAAGAUGCCAAUAAAAUUAGCUGUAAAAUAUUUUUCUCUCCCUAAUAUAUUAUAUAGAGUUAAUCCAAUAUUAAGAUGGA